rnacentral:rRNA from 1 species
UGACCUCAAAUCGGGUAGGACUACCCGCUGAACUUAA